rnacentral:rRNA from 1 species
AGGAUGGAUCUAUAAUGCAGUCGACGAGCUUCCGUUGAAUGACGUGCUUGCACUGAUUUCAACAAUGAAGCGAGUGGCGAACUGGUGAGUAACACGUGGGGAAUCUGCCCAGAAGCAGGGGAUAACACUUGGAAACAGGUGCUAAUACCGUAUAACAACAAAAUCCGCAUGGAUUUUGUUUGAAAGGUGGCUUCGGCUAUCACUUCUGGAUGAUCCCGCGGCGUAUUAGUUAGUUGGUGAGGUAAAGGCCCACCAAGACGAUGAUACGUAGCCGACCUGAGAGGGUAAUCGGCCACAUUGGGACUGAGACACGGCCCAAACUCCUACGGGAGGCAGCAGUAGGGAAUCUUCCACAAUGGACGAAAGUCUGAUGGAGCAAUGCCGCGUGAGUGAAGAAGGGUUUCGGCUCGUAAAACUCUGUUGUUAAAGAAGAACACCUUUGAGAGUAACUGUUCAAGGGUUGACGGUAUUUAACCAGAAAGCCACGGCUAACUACGUGCCAGCAGCCGCGGUAAUACGUAGGUGGCAAGCGUUGUCCGGAUUUAUUGGGCGUAAAGCGAGCGCAGGCGGUUUUUUAAGUCUGAUGUGAAAGCCUUCGGCUUAACCGGAGAAGUGCAUCGGAAACUGGGAGACUUGAGUGCAGAAGAGGACAGUGGAACUCCAUGUGUAGCGGUGGAAUGCGUAGAUAUAUGGAAGAACACCAGUGGCGAAGGCGGCUGUCUAGUCUGUAACUGACGCUGAGGCUCGAAAGCAUGGGUAGCGAACAGGAUUAGAUACCCUGGUAGUCCAUGCCGUAAACGAUGAGUGCUAAGUGUUGGAGGGUUUCCGCCCUUCAGUGCUGCAGCUAACGCAUUAAGCACUCCGCCUGGGGAGUACGACCGCAAGGUUGAAACUCAAAGGAAUUGACGGGGGGCCCGCACAAGCGGUGGAGCAUGUGGUUUAAUUCGAAGCUACGCGAAGAACCUUACCAGGGUCUUGACAUCUUCUGCCCAAUCUUAGAGAUAAGACGUUUCCCUUUCGGGGACAGAAAUGACAGGGUGGUGCAUGAUUGUCGUCAGCUCGUGUCGUGAGAUGUUGGGUUAAGUCUCGCAAACGAGCGCUACCCCUUAUAUCAGUUGCUAGCCAUUCAGGAGGCACUCUGAUGAGACUGCCUGGUGACUAACCUGGAGCAAGCUGGAUGGAUGGACGUUCCGAAAUUCCAUUCC